GUCGUGAGAUGUUGGGUUAAGUCCCGCAACGAGCGCAACCCUUGUCCUAUGUUGCCAGCGGAUAAUGCCGGGGACUCGUAGGAGACUGCCGGGGUCAACUCGGAGGAAGGUGGGGACGACGUCAAGUCAUCAUGCCCCUUAUGUCCAGGGCUGCAAACAUGCUACAAUGGCCGGUACAAAGGGCUGCUAUCCCGCGAGGGUGAGCGAAUCCCAUAAAGCCGGUCUCAGUUCGGAUCGAAGUCUGCAACUCGACUUCGUGAAGCCGGAGUCGCUAGUAAUCCCGGAUCAGCACGCCGGGGUGAAUACGUUCCCGGGCCUUGUACACACCGCCCGUCACACCACGAAAGUCGGUAACACCCGAAGCCGGUGGCCCAACCGCAAGGAGGGAGCCGUCGAAGGUGGGAUCGGUGAUUGGGGUGAAGUCGUAACAAGGUAGCCGUACCGGAAGGUGCGGCUGGAUCACCUCCUUUCUAAGGAGUUCUCAGUGACCAUUCGGUCACUCACUCCCUAGUUGGUGCACUGGCGAUCCGUCCUCGACAACCAUGUUCUGUUGAGAUUCAGUUCUCCCGAUGUGGUGACUCGAGUACGGAUUCCGAAUCCUCUCUUCCGUUUUGAAGGAGCGGCUCGCCGGCGGUCGAUCAAACGAUCCCGCCGGUUGGUCGGCUUCUUCGCUAGUGCGUGCCGCCGAACCCCUGCCCUGACCGGGCGGCGGGAUCGCUCCGGUCUCGCGCGAUGGCCCCUUGAGAAUUGCAGAGCGAGCACGAGCAUCUUGAAAAGUUCUUCCAAGCUAUAAAGAGCCAACGGUGGAUGCCUUGGCGUCUGGAACCGAUGAAGGACGUGGGUGACUGCGAAAAGCUACGGGGAGCCGUCGACCAGGCUUUGAUCCGUAGAUGU
rnacentral:sRNA from 1 species